UCCCUGGUGACCUAGAGGUUAAGGGGACAGCAUUGUCACUGCUGUGGUACAGGUUCGAUCCCUGGCCUGGCAG
rnacentral:tRNA from 1 species